AGCCAUAGCUUAGCGGUCGAGCAUCUGCUCUGCACACAGAAGGCACCAGGUUCAAUCCCUAGAAUUGUAGAGUUG